AUUGAACGCUGGCGGCAUGCUUUACACAUGCAAGUCGAACGGCAGCGCGGGCUUCGGCCUGGCGGCGAGUGGCGAACGGGUGAGUAAUGCAUCGGAACGUGCCCAGUAGUGGGGGAUAGCCCGGCGAAAGCCGGAUUAAUACCGCAUACGACCUGAGGGUGAAAGCGGGGGACCGAAAGGCCUCGCGCUAUUUGAGCGGCCGAUGUCGGAUUAGCUAGUUGGUGGGGUAAAGGCUUACCAAGGCGACGAUCCGUAGCUGGUCUGAGAGGACGACCAGCCACACUGGGACUGAGACACGGCCCAGACUCCUACGGGAGGCAGCAGUGGGGAAUUUUGGGCAAUGGGGGCAACCCUGAUCCAGCCAUGCCGCGUGCGGGAAGAAGGCCUUCGGGUUGUAAACCGCUUUUGUUCGGGAAGAAAUCCUAUGGGCUAAUACCCCGGGGGGAUGACGGUACCGGAAGAAUAAGCACCGGCUAACUACGUG
rnacentral:rRNA from 1 species